rnacentral:rRNA from 1 species
UACGUAGGGGGCAAGCGUUGUCCGGAUUUACUGGGCGUAAAGAGCGUGUAGGCGGCCAGGCAGGUCUGUUGUGAAAACUGGAGGCUCAACUUCCAGACGUCGACAGAAACCGCUUGGCUAGAGUCCGGAAGAGGAGAGUGGAAUUCCUGGUGUAGCGGUGAAAUGCGCAGAUAUCAGGAAGAACACCAGUGGCGAAGGCGGCCUGCUGGGGUAGAGCUGACACUGAGGCGCGACAGCGUGGGGAGCAAACAGG